rnacentral:rRNA from 1 species
CCUGGUGGUUGGAGCGAAGGGGUAACACCCGAUCCCAUCCCGAACUCGGCCGUGAAGACCUUCAGCGCCGAUGGUACUGCGUCCUAAGACGUGGGAGAGUAGGUCACUGCCAGGU